rnacentral:lncRNA from 1 species
GGAGCUAGGGAGAAAUUGCUUGUUUAAUGGAUCUCUUCAUUUUUAAUGGAAAAUUCUUUAAAAAUACUUCUGCUUUCAAAGCUUAAGGCUUGUUUUUAGCUUAGACUGAUUGUAUUUUUCAGUUCUGGUUUUCUGAUGAUUGUUCCAACUUUGUCUACAAUUCAAAGGAAUGAAAUUACUACUGUAAUAUAGAGUAUUUGGGGGUUGUUUUUCACACUGUUCAGCUGCUGUGUUUUAUUUUCACUUGACUAUGAGGUUAUUCUAACCCCUCAUUCAGAGGAACAACUGAUUUUGCACGAUUUAGCGGAACAAAUGUGGAAACUGACUUUGUAGAGGUGCCAUCGCAAAUGCUUGAAAAUUGGGUGUGGGACGUCGAUUCCCUCCGAAGAUUGUCAAAACAUUAUAAAGAUGGAAGCCCUAUUGCAGACGAUCUGCUUGAAAAACUUGUUGCUUCUAGGCUGGUCAACACAGGUCUUCUGACCCUGCGCCAGAUUGUUUUGAGCAAAGUUGAUCAGUCUCUUCAUACCAACACAUCGCUGGAUGCUGCAAGUGAAUAUGCCAAAUACUGCUCAGAAAUAUUAGGAGUUGCAGCUACUCCAGGCACAAAUAUGCCAGCU